CGGCCGAACUUUACCUUCGGCGGCCGAACCUGGCAAAUGCCUCCUUGGUCUUUUCUCUUCAAAACCCAAUUCCUUUUGCAUUAAAACUAGAAAAUCAUUAAAACACUUAAAACACAUUUUAGAAAACACAUUUACCCCUCUAGAAGACUCGGACAUCUUCGAAAUUCCAGAUUCCAAUGGAAACUCCGCCGGAAGUUAGGGAUUUCGAUGUCGGAAUCUAGCCGGGUAUUACACACAUGCAUAAAGUCAUGGCAUUUUACAUCACCAAUCAAGACAGGACUCUACAUCCUAUCCUAGUGGACAUGAUUUUCCUAUUGUGCUUGCCCUUCUAUAACAUCUAUGAGCCCGACACACUAUAGGUCCGACCAUAUGAACCUAGGGCUCUGAUACCAAUCUGUAACGAC
rnacentral:lncRNA from 1 species